UUUUGGCUGAAGCUGUGCAGGUGAGACCCAGGCCACCAAGAAAAGGACAAAGAGCAGCUCUGUGUGAGGAUCACUGGUGGAUCAGCCCUUCAUAAGGGCUGCUCUCCUUCACGCUGCAGGUUGAUUUCUUGUCCAUCCCUCUGCGAGGGACUGAAAACCUGUGUACAGCAGUGCGAAUAUAGAACAUCCCAUGGAGGUUAUGAACCAAAAGGAGGGAUUUUCACACGAAAUGCUCUGCAGCUAAGGAAGGGAAGGUGAAAGAUAGCUCAGCAAGCUUCUCCUG
rnacentral:lncRNA from 1 species